GGGGCACAGUAUUACACGCGAAGGUCCUACUUUUUUCUACGGGUUACGCCAUGGGAACCGUGUUGCCUAAUACUGUAUACGCCCCUAUUGGGGGAAAGAUUUUAUUGGAGAGAGAUGAGCCUGCGUUGGAUUAGCUAGUUGGUAGGGUGAGAGCCUACCAAGGCUACGAUCUAUAGCUGGUCUGAGAGGACGAUCAGCCACACUGGGACUGAGACACGGCCCAGACUCCUACGGGAGGCAGCAGUGGGGAAUAUUGGACAAUGGGGGUAACCCUGAUCCAGCCAUGCCGCGUGAGUGAAGAAGGCCUUAGGGUUGUAAAGCUCUUUCGCCGGAGAAGAUAAUGACGGUAUUCGGAGAAGAAGCCCCGGCUAACUUCGUGCCAGCAGCCGCGGUAAUACGAAGGGGGCGAGCGUUGUUCGGAAUAACUGGGCGUAAAGGGCGCGUAGGCGGGCGAUUAAGUUAGAGGUGAAAUCCCAGGGCUCAACCUUGGAACUGCCUUUAAUACUGGUUGUCUAGAGUUUUAGGAGAGGUGAGUGGAAUUCCGAGUGUAGAGGUGAAAUUCGUAGAUAUUCGGAGGAACACCCGGUGGCGAAGGCGGCUCACUGGCCUGGUACUGACGCUGAGGCGCGAAAGCGUGGGGAGCAAACAGGAUUAGAUACCCUGGUAGUCCACGCCGUAAACGAUGAGUGCUAGCUGUUGGGUGGUUUACCAUUCAGUGGUGCAGCUAACGCACUAAGUCCUCCGCCUGGGGAGUACGGUCGCAAGAUUAAACUCAAAGGAACUGACGGGGCCCGCACUAGCGGUGGAGCAUGUGGUUUAAUCCGAUGCACCGCGCAAAUCUUACCAGCCUUGACAUGUAUAGGACGAUAUCAGAGAUGGUAUUUUUCCUUUCGGAGACCUUUACACAGUGUCUGCAUUGAUUGC
rnacentral:rRNA from 1 species